rnacentral:rRNA from 1 species
GACGAACGCUGGCGGCGUGCUUAACACAUGCAAGUCGAACGGAAAGGCCCUGCUUUUGUGGGGUGCUCGAGUGGCGAACGGGUGAGUAACACGUGAGUAACCUGCCCUUGACUUUGGGAUAACUUCAGGAAACUGGGGCUAAUACCGGAUAGGAGCUCCUGCUGCAUGGUGGGGGUUGGAAAGUUUCGGCUUGGGGAUGGACUCGCGGCUUAUCAGCUUGUUGGUGGGGUAGUGGCUUACCAAGGCUUUGACGGGUAGCCGGCCUGAGAGGGUGACCGGCCACAUUGGGACUGAGAUACGGCCCAGACUCCUACGGGAGGCAGCAGUGGGGAAUAUUGCACAAUGGGCGGAAGCCUGAUGCAGCAACGCAGCGUGCGGGAUGACGGCCUUCGGGUUGUAAACCGCUUUCGCCUGUGACGAAGCGUGAGUGACGGUAAUGGGUAAAGAAGCACCGGCUAACUACGUG